rnacentral:lncRNA from 1 species
CUUGAACAAAAAGUUUCUUUGUAAUCAAGUAAUUUAACAGCAAAGCUCUCCGUUAUGUUUAUGUAUUUGUAGCCAUCUUUACAACAGAAUAAGUUAAAAGGAGACAUAAAAUCGUAUGACAUUUUUAAUUCUAAAUUUUCAUCAUAUUUUUUUUAUCAAAAGACGAAACAGUCAAAAAAGUAAUGACACUUUUAGUUUUUAGAUUUAUAUUCAAAAUGAAAUAUCAUGGAUAUCAUACAAAUACUGUAAUCUAACACAUACUUCUUUAAUGUGCGUUUAUAGAACACUGCAUUAAGGGUUAACACCACUUUGUUUAUAUUAGUCCGAGAUUACUCUGACCUCCAACGGCUGUUUUGCCAGACAAGCUGGGGCCGUCCUAGCUGAGGAACCGUAGCUCUUAGCUCCUUAUGAUAUUUUUUGAUUAUUUGCGGUCCGCCCUUAUGUUUUUUUUUGACUAUUUACGGUCCGCAAAUAGUCAAAAACAUAAGGACCUAAGAGCUACGGCCGUCCCAUAUCAAAAAGUGGAUAAUUGCUCGUCCAAAAUAGAUGCUCUGCUUCGUCGCUUCUGGUGCCAACGGACAGCCUUGGAAUUAUAAAAAUUUGGUUUCAAUUUGUUCAUUUUUCAUUUAUCUCUUCAUUUAUGCAAGUUUCACCUACCUGCCACCCUUUAUUUUCUCAUAUUUAGACAGUUUUCACAAUGACCCGCCAAUUCUGGCAUUUUGACUUUCAUUUUGAAAGAUUGUCAUGUGAUCACGAGAAAAAAAUAAGACACAAUGGACUAUGGGAAAUGAUGUACAUGUAUGCAUAUGACCCUAGGUCAAUAUGAAUAUAUAAUCUAACACCUCGCUCAUUUACGAUGCAAGCAAUGUAAAUAUUGGAGAGCUUCCGAAUGUUAUCGUGGUUGGAACUAAAUGCUUAAUACCUAUAUCCUGUAAAGGAGGUGAAAAAUCGUGGUUGGCUACUAAAUGUUAAAUAUCGAUCUCCUUUAAAGGAGGUGAAAAAAGUAUGAAUAUUUGCAUAUUUGAGUCUCGAGGUCUCGUAACUUGACCUUAAAGAGGGAGGGUCCUGAUCCUGAAAUCCUGGGCUUAAAAACACGAAAUCCAGAGGUCCCCAAUUUAAAUAAAUUUAAAUCCUGUCAUUCCGAAAUUCAAAAAAAGAUUUCUGGGAUCCCGAAAGGGUCAAUCCUGAAAUCCCAAGCUUAAAAACACCUGAUCCCGGGGUCCCGAUAAAGGUCCUAUUCCCCCUCUUAAACCCCCUGACUUAUCUUCCAAUAAAAAUGAGUUUCAUGGGCUAGUGGAAAUUUUAAAAAAGUUGCUAAAGCAUGCAUGUACAAUUAUGUAUAUAUCACCAGACUUAUUUGGACUUAAUUUUAAUUUUUAUCAUUUAUUUAGAAAUUGGACUUUUGGAAAAGAUAUUAUUUUACAAAUUUAAAUAUUUACAUGUGUAUUAAUCUUAAUUAGUGGCAUUUAGCAUGUUUAAUGUUGGAAUAUUUGUGACAGAUUUAUUUAUUGAGUUACAGAAAUUAAUAUGAAAGACAUUAAUUCAUACUAAAGGUGUGAAAAUUAUUGUAUAGGAAAAUGAAAGAAUAAGAUUAUGAGUAUUAUAAAUUAUAAUUAAAAUUCUUUAAGAGGGGACGAAAGAUACCAAAGGGACAGUCAAACUCCAUAAAUCUAAAACAAAACUGCAAGCCAUGGCUAAAAAUGAAAAGACCAAACAGAAAAACAAAAUAGUACACAAGACACAACAUAGAAAACUAAAGAAAAAACAACAACGAACCCCACCACAACUAGGGGUGAUCUCAGGUGCUCCGAAGGGUAAGCAGAGAUCCUGCUCCAAUUACCUUUGAUAUUAAUGAAUGUGAAUGCUGUCACUUAUAGCGUAAAGUUAUGAAAUGUCAUUUUUAAUUUGAGUAUUGUCAUGUUAAUUGAGUAUUGUAUAUUUUCGAUAUUCAGUAUAAAUACUUAUUGUAAACUUUGUAAAAUCAGAACAUCAGUAAGAUACAGUAGGAGUCACAUUAAAUGUAUUGACAUUGUCCUUUGUAUAGUUUAUGUUAGAACUUUGGCUUGGAAUUAAAUUAUAUAACUUGAAUGUGUUGGAUUUUUGUGAACUGCAACAACUAGGUCCUGAUAGGGGUGACCUUCAAAGCAUAAUUGUUUUUCUAAUGAUUUUACAAAGAAAAUCAUGACCCUGUAACACGCCCCUUGGUUACAUAUACAUUUUUGUCGAGCCUUCGACUUUAGUCGAAAAAGCGAGACCUAAGCUCUCCUACAUUGGUCGGCGGCGGCGUCACAAAUAUUCACUCUGUGUUAAAGUUUUUAAAAUUUUAAUAAUUCUUAACUAUCCUGGGAUUUCUACAAACUUGACAGAAGCUUGUUUAUGAUCAUAAGAUAGUAUCCAGAAGAAAUUUUGUAAAAAUAAAAUUCCUUUUCUUAUUUUACUUUUUAAAUGGACUUAGUUUUUCUGCCAGGAAAUAGUUACAUUCCCUCUGGUUAAGUUUUAAAUUUUUAUAACUUUCUUAACUAUUCUGGGUUGGUACCAAACUUGGACAGAAACUUUUUAUGAUAUAAGAUAGUAUCCAGAAGUAAUUUUUGUGAAAAAUUAAAUCCAUUUUUCUGUAUUUUUACUUUUAAAAAGACUUAGAUUUUCUGUCAGGAAACACCACAAUUCACUCUGUGGUUAAACUUUUUAAAAUUUAUAAUAACUUUCUUAUAUACUAUUUUGGAUUUGUAACCAAAUCUUGGACAGAACUUGUAAUGAUUCAAAAAAGCUAGUAUCUAGAACGAAAUUAAAAAAAAAAUAAUCUGUUUUUCGUAUUUUACUUUUAAAAAAUGAACUCUGCCAGAAACAACACAUUCACUCUGUAGCAUUUGAAAAUGUAGUUAACCUUUUUAAAAUUUAUCUUUCUUAUACUAUUUUGGAUUUAUACCAAACUUGGACAGAAGCUUGUUAUUGAUCAAAAGCUAGUAUCUAGAAGGAAUUUAGUUUUUUCUUCAGUUAACAUUCAUUUGUCCCUACAGUUAAAAGUUUUUAAACAUUUAUUAGAUUCAUAACCUUCUGGAUUUUUACCAAAACUUGGACAGAAGUUCUUACAAUUUAAAAAGAUAAUAUCAACAGGAAUAUUUUAAAUUGAUUUAUUUUCCUUUUAUUUUUUGUUGAGCCUGCGAUUAAACAGAAAGAGUAGGCAAAGAACACUGGGUUUCCGCGAACCCUUACAAAUUUUUAUAGAAGUAUUUUUUCUUAAAAUUUAUGAGCUUUUUGCCAGAUGUAAACAUAAUGCUAUUGCUAAAAUGUGUUCUUACAUUGUAGUCUAAUGAUAGAUAUUUUAAAACAGUAGGCCUACAUGUAUUAUACAAGUAUUUGAUAUAUAUGUUUUAUAUAAUUUAUAAACUUUGAAUCUAGAUAUAUUUUUAACCAUGUUAACAUAGUUAUUUUAUUAUUUUAUUUAAAAUAUGAGACAUAAUUGUUUUUGUAUUGCAGACUUUUUACAUUUGUGAUGAACUUACUACUAAAUAUUUUGAAAUGGAGCCAUAAUUGAAGAUUCAUGAUGAGUCAAAAAAUAAAGCCUAAUAUGACUAAAGGUGAUGUUUCCUAUUUACGGGCU